GAACGGGUGAGUAAUAUAUCGGAACGUACCCAGAAGUGGGGGAUAACGCAGCGAAAGUUGCGCUAAUACCGCAUACGAUCUACGGAUGAAAGUGGGGGACUCGUAAGGGCCUCAUGCUUUUGGAGCGGCCGAUAUCUGAUUAGCUAGUUGGUGAGGUAAAAGCUCACCAAGGCGACGAUCAGUAGCUGGUCUGAGAGGACGACCAGCCACACUGGGACUGAGACACGGCCCAGACUCCUACGGGAGGCAGCAGUGGGGAAUUUUGGACAAUGGGGGCAACCCUGAUCCAGCAAUGCCGCGUGUGUGAAGAAGGCCUUCGGGUUGUAAAGCACUUUUGUCAGGAACGAAACGGUUUUGGCUAAUACCUGGAACUAAUGACGGUACCUGAAGAAUAAGCACCGGCUAACUACGUGCCAGCAGCCGCGGUAAUACGUAGGGUGCAAGCGUUAAUCGGAAUUACUGGGCGUAAAGCGUGCGCAGGCGGUUUUGUAAGACAGAUGUGAAAUGCCCGGGCUUAACCUGGGAACUGCAUUUGUGACUGCAAGGCUAGAAUCUGGCAGAAGGGGGGUAGAAAUUCCACCGUGUAAGCCAGUGAAAAAUGCCGUAAGAAUUUUGUUGGAG
rnacentral:rRNA from 1 species